AGCCUGAGAGUGGUCAUGGAUGCAUUUUAGCUGUACCUUUAGGGCCGGAGCACACACUUCUGCAUAACGCAUAAUGCACAACGCAUAAGAAAAUGAACCAAUCAUAGUCCUCCAUUUCUACUCCCCAAUAAAAUCAAAAGAUUCUGAUUGGUUAACUUUCUUAUACGUGAUGCAUUAUGCGUAUGCUCCGGCUCUUAUUCGCGUAGAUAAUGUGCACGUUUUUGUGUGGUUCUCUUCCGUGCUAGACGCAAGAGUGAUAAAGACGGAUAGUCGUGUCCAUAUCGUCUGUCUUUGAGAGAAAUGAGAAUUUGUUCGAAUUGAGAACUUGAGGCUGAGUGGAGAACGUGGAGGGCGUCUCGAGGUCGUAAUGAGGCACUUAUUUGUUAGUCCAGAAAACGUCCUGUUUACGUUUCAGGAUCAUAAUACCCAGCAAACAAAAUGCUAGCAAUUUACUAGCAAAACUGGCAACAAAUUCGAUCAUGUAUACGAACAGAUUGGCAGCAAAAAUCGAACAGUUUGCCCUAACAGUUAGAGAAAAAAAGAAAAUUUUGUUUAUUUCGUACCACAAUAGAGUGAUACGACCUGCUCUGUCCCUACGUUCGAUAGGGACAUCCUCUUCUGAUGUAGUUGACGCUGGUCGCCGGAAGGCAUCACAUUUCACAUCGUCUCGUUAAAAUAAAAUAGUAAAAAACGAAAACAAAGAAAAAAAACCUAUGCAAAAAUUGGUGGCUCGCGCCACUCUCGAGUCCCGCUCGCGCCCUCUCCCCUCGAACGGGUGAAACGCAGGACCAACAAUUCUCGUAAUCGGAGAAUGCUCCUUGUGGUGAGGAGAUCCCACGACGCACGUCACAAUAAGUAAAUUAAUUCAAACUGUAUACGCCAGAGAGAUCGUGCAAACAUUUGGAUAAAGAUCAAGAAUAUAAAAAAAUCAGAUAUAACGCAGAAAAACGCUCUUGUAAGUUUUGCCUUGUCAAGUGUAACUGCAUGCUUCUUUUCUAAAUAAUCACCGGGAAAGAAGACCACCGGCGGCUGUUUCGAGACAUCCUUGACGACGGAUGUCUCACGUUAGCAUACUCCGCCGGCGAGUUCGGAUGUCAUUCAAGUCUCUCCGAGCGCGCGCACGUGCACGCCAUCGGCUUUUGCGCUUUCCGUGAAUGGUUAUGGAGUACAAGGUUGAGCAACGUGUGUCUGCCUGCCACGGUCGAAGGAUGAUGAUACAGCCGCGGGGAUGUCGCGGGCAGAGGGGUGGUCAAGGUGGGGCCCGUUAGAAGAGAGAUGUCCCUCGGCUUUUACGGCCGUAUUUCAUCCUUGCGGAGCCCGUUGCUCCUGUCGUAAAGACUCACGAGAAUCGACGGAUGCAGUUUCUAGGAAAGAGAGAGAGAGAGAGAGAGAGGAGGAGGAAGAGAGAAAAAGACGGAGAGAUAGAGAAAGAGCCCGUAAUGGUGUUGAAAUCGUAAAAUCGAGGAAACCCUGCGGGCGGAGGCAGCCGAUGUCGGUGAACGAGGACACGUAGAAAGCUUUCUCCGUGACGACGCGCUUAAAAGAGAAACGUGAGAAGUCCGUGUAGCAAGUACGUGAGAAAAAAAGAACAAGCGAAAUGUAUGCAAACUCGCGAUAUUAUCGCGUCGAACGUCUCUCAGGCAGAUUCGCCAAAUCGAUCGAGCAGCUUGGAUCGAGAGCCCUGGAAGUUUCGGUCAUGUCACUCGAGCGAAUUCUUCUAUCCCUAAAUGGAUUUCUGGACUUCCGACUCAAUAGGAGAGUCACAGUACCGUGUUAUAAGAGUGAAUCAUCCAUUUCCUUUUCAAUCUGUGACGUUUGUAUUCCCUUCGUAAUCUUUAUCGUUCUCUUACAUUUUUUUCUUUUUCUUUUCUCUUUUCCGAUAAGAUAAUCAUUCGUGGAAUAUGCUACGAUGCUAAAAUGUGCAAGAUCAAACACAGAGAGGCGAGAUAAUCAUGAAAAUGAUGAAUUAUCUUAUGUCUUGUAUUUCGCUUUUCGGCAUGUUCAGUCAGUUAUCAUUAGAUUGACAUUGUAUUGUAUCUCAGAAUACACUGAAUAUAUAUAAAAACAUAAAUUGGUAAAUAGUAAAUCUUUGUGCGAAAUAUACAUAAGGUAAUGGAAGGUGAACAAUUUGAAUAUAACGCUACAUAUUUGUACAUUUACAUUUGAAGAUUGACAUUGAGAUCGACUAAGAAUAAAAUCGUGCUAAGUUAACAUCGUAUCGUCAUUUCAGCACUUGUCAAGAAAUAUAAUGUAAGUAAUUGUUAUAUACAAAAAUUUCUUUUUCGUAGACAAUAACGCGAUAUUUGAAUUUGGUUUUCAUUGUUCAGUCUAGAAAAUGACGAAGAUCAUUUAUCUAGGUAUUGAUUUAUUCCUAUUUCGUAUUGAUUUUAUUCCUAUUUAUUUAUAACGACGUCAAGGACUUCUGAGCUGGAAACGACAGACGAUAAUUCGAAAUUACUGUUAAUCAGCGUGGUAAUGAUAUGAAAAUCACUACAAAAAAAUCUUUUUGCACAUGUGCAAAAUUAAUUUAAAUUUCAAAUUUUCAGUUAUUCCGACACGCUGAUAUCAUAGAACAUAGGCGGUAUAAUAAAGCUUAUAUAACUGAUCCAUACAAAAAAAUCACGAUGAGUAUCCAUUUGGUAAAGGAGUGUUGACUAAGAUAAGAUUUGAUUUGUGUGCUACAACAUAGAUAUAUCAUAUCAUUUUGUUAAUCUCUCUUUAUUGCUAAGAUUAUCUCAUGAAAUAGUAUGCAUCAAGCAACCUCUUGCAAUCCUUAAUAAUUAGUUUGUUCCAUUUGCUACACAUUGUAUGAUACUUUAUAUACGCAAUUUUACAUGAAACGGGAAUUACCUAAGUGGACAAAAAGCAUAUUUCCGAAUGAUGGCCCUCUGAUGGAUGCAGCUCUCUUAUUCUAUAAAUUAUUUUGUCACAAUCACUUGAACAAUGGCACUGGAGGCAUGUCUAAAUCAUCUAAAUUGAAAACAUACUGCUUAUAAGUUAUUUAAUCAUUAAAAGUUAAUCUUAUAUCGGUGAAGUACGUAAAUAUCAUAUAUUUUAAUCAUAAAUGCCAUUU